rnacentral:rRNA from 1 species
UUGAACGCUGGCGGCAGGCCUAACACAUGCAAGUCGAACGGUAACAGGAAACAGCUUGCUGUUUCGCUGACGAGUGGCGGACGGGUGAGUAAUGUCUGGGAAACUGCCUGAUGGAGGGGGAUAACUACUGGAAACGGUAGCUAAUACCGCAUAACGUCGCAAGACCAAAGAGGGGGACCUUCGGGCCUCUUGCCAUCGGAUGUGCCCAGAUGGGAUUAGCUAGUAGGUGGGGUAACGGCUCACCUAGGCGACGAUCCCUAGCUGGUCUGAGAGGAUGACCAGCCACACUGGAACUGAGACACGGUCCAGACUCCUACGGGAGGCAGCAGUGGGGAAUAUUGCACAAUGGGCGCAAGCCUGAUGCAGCCAUGCCGCGUGUAUGAAGAAGGCCUUCGGGUUGUAAAGUACUUUCAGCGGGGAGGAAGGGAGUAAAGUUAAUACCUUUGCUCAUUGACGUUACCCGCAGAAGAAGCACCGGCUAACUCCGUGCCAGCAGCCGCGGUAAUACGGAGGGUGCAAGCGUUAAUCGGAAUUACUGGGCGUAAAGCGCACGCAGGCGGUUUGUUAAGUCAGAUGUGAAAUCCCCGGGCUCAACCUGGGAACUGCAUCUGAUACUGGCAAGCUUGAGUCUCGUAGAGGGGGGUAGAAUUCCAGGUGUAGCGGUGAAAUGCGUAGAGAUCUGGAGGAAUACCGGUGGCGAAGGCGGCCCCCUGGACGAAGACUGACGCUCAGGUGCGAAAGCGUGGGGAGCAAACAGGAUUAGAUACCCUGGUAGUCCACGCCGUAAACGAUGUCGACUUGGAGGUUGUGCCCUUGAGGCGUGGCUUCCGGAGCUAACGCGUUAAGUCGACCGCCUGGGGAGUACGGCCGCAAGGUUAAAACUCAAAUGAAUGGACGGGGGCCCGCACAAGCGGUGGAGCAUGUGGUUUAAUUCGAUGCAACGCGAAGAACCUUACCUGGUCUUGACAUCCACGGAAGUUUUCAGAGAUGAGAAUGUGCCUUCGGGAACCGUGAGACAGGUGCUGCAUGGCUGUCGUCAGCUCGUGUUGUGAAAUGUUGGGUGAAGUCCCGCGGCGAGCUCAACCCUUAUCCUUUUUUGCCAGCGGUCCGGACGGGAGUGCAACGGGGACUGCCAGUGUUAAACUGGAGGAAGGAGGGGAUGACGUCAAGUCAGCAUGCGCCUUACGACCAGGGCUACACACGUGCUACAAUGGCGCAUACAAAGAGAAGCGACCUCGCGAGAGCAAGCGGACCUCAUAAAGUGCGUCGUAGUCCGGAUUGGAGUCUGCAACUCGACUCCAUGAAGUCGGAAUCGCUAGUAAUCGUGGAUCAGAAUGCCACGGUGAAUACGUUCCCGGGCCUUGUACACACCGCCCGUCACACCAUGGGAGUGGGUUGCAAAAGAAGUAGGUAGCUUAACCUUCGGGAGGGCGCUUACCACUUUGUGAUUCAUGACUGGGGUG